rnacentral:rRNA from 1 species
UCCCAGUUCGGAUUGCAGUCUGCAACUCGACUGCAUGAAGCCGGAAUCGCUAGUAAUCGCGGAUCAGAAUGCCGCGGUGAAUACGUUCCCGGGUCUUGUACACACCGCCCGUCACACCAUGGGAGUCGGAAAUGCCCGAAGCCGGUGGCCUAACCGAUAAGGGAGGAGCCGUCGAAGGCAGGUCUGAUGACUGGGGUGAAGUCGUAACAAGGUAUC